UACGUAGGGGGCAAGCGUUGUCCGGAUUUAUUGGGCGUAAAGAGCGUGUAGGCGGCUUGGAAGGUCAGCUGUGAAAACUCGAGGCUCAACCUCGAGACGUCGGUUGAAACCACCUGGCUAGAGUCCGGAAGAGGAGAGUGGAAUUCCCGGUGUAGCGGUGAAAUGCGCAGAUAUCGGGAGGAACACCAGUGGCGAAGGCGGUUGCCUGGAGCUUUGCUGACGCUGAGGCGCGAAAGCGUGGGGAGCGAUCCGG
rnacentral:rRNA from 1 species